AUCCAACUGACUAGUCUCAAAUAGGAAGAAAUGCACAUCCUGGAU
rfam:Schistosoma margrebowiei strain Zambia genome assembly, scaffold: SMRZ_scaffold0000164